rnacentral:rRNA from 1 species
AACGCGAAGAACCUUACCUGGGCUCGAACGGCUUAAGAAAGACUGUGGAAACACGGUUUCUCCCGCAAGGGACUUGAGUCGAGGUGCUGCAUGGCUGUCGUCAGCUCGUGUCGUGAGAUGUUGGGUUAAGUCCCGCAACGAGCGCAACCCUUGUCCUGUGUUGGCAUGCCGAAAGGCGCAACUCUCAGGAGACCGCCAGCGAUAAGUUGGAGGAAGGUGGGGAUGACGUCAAGUCAUCAUGGCCUUUAUGUCCAGGGCUACACACGUGCUACAAUGGGCGGUACAAAGCGCUGCAAACCCGCGAGGGGGAGCUAAUCGCAAAAAACCGUUCUCAGUUCGGAUUGCAGGCUGCAACUCGCCUGCAUGAAGCUGGAAUCGCUAGUAAUGGCAUAUCAGAACGAUGCCGUGAAUACGUUCCCGGGCCUUGUA